rnacentral:rRNA from 1 species
UGGGGAAUAUUGCACAAUGGAGGAAACUCUGAUGCAGCCAUGCCGCGUGUGUGAAGAAGGCUUUCGGGUUGUAAAGCACUUUCAGUGGGGAGGAAAGGUUGUACUUUAAUAGAGUGCAACUGUGACGUUACCCACAGAAGAAGCACCGGCUAACUCCGUGCCAGCAGCCGCGGUAAUACGGAGGGUGCGAGCGUUAAUCGGAAUUACUGGGCGUAAAGCGCGCGUAGGUGGUUAAUUAAGUCAGAUGUGAAAGCCCAGGGCUCAACCUUGGAACUGCAUUUGAAACUGGUUAACUAGAGUUUUGUAGAGGGUGGUAGAAUUUCAGGUGUAGCGGUGAAAUGCGUAGAGAUCUGAAGGAAUACCAGUGGCGAAGGCGGCCACCUGGACAAAGACUGACACUGAGGCGCGAAGGCGUGGGGAGCAAACGGG